GCCUACGGCCAUACCACGUUGAACACACCGGUUCUCGUCCGAUCACCGAAGUUAAGCAACGUCGGGCCCGGUGAGUACUUGGAUGGGUGACCGCCUGGGAACACCGGGUGCUGUAGGCA
rnacentral:rRNA from 1 species